rnacentral:rRNA from 1 species
CCUACGGGUGGCAGCAGUGGGGAAUAUUGCACAAUGGGGGAAACCCUGAUGCAGCGACGCCGCGUGAGUGAAGAAGUAUUUCGGUAUGUAAAGCUCUAUCAGCAGGGAAGAAAUAGCGACCUUUGGGUCGCCAGACGGUACCUGAUUAAGAAGCCCCGGCUAACUACGUGCCAGCAGCCGCGGUAAUACGUAGGGGGCAAGCGUUAUCCGGAUUUAUUGGGUUUAAAGGGUGCGUAGGCGGAUCGUUAAGUCAGUGGUCAAAUUGAGGGGCUCAACCCCUUCCCGCCAUUGAAACUGGCGCUCUUGAGUGGAAGAGAAGUAUGCGGAAUGCGUGGUGUAGCGGUGAAAUGCAUAGAUAUCACGAAGAACUCCGAUUGCGAAGGCAGUUCACUGGACUGCAACUGACACUGAGGCUCGAAAGUGUGGGUAUCAAACAGGAUUAGAUACCCGGGUAGUC